rnacentral:rRNA from 1 species
UAGUGGCGAACGGGUGAGUAACACGUGGGCAAUCUGCCCUGCACUCUGGGACAAGCCCUGGAAACGGGGUCUAAUACCGGAUAAUACUGUGCCCCUCAUGGGGGACGGUUAAAAGCUCCGGCGGUGCAGGAUGAGCCCGCGGCCUAUCAGCUUGUUGGUGGGGUAAUGGCCUACCAAGGCGACGACGGGUAGCCGGCCUGAGAGGGCGACCGGCCACACUGGGACUGAGACACGGCCCAGACUCCUACGGGAGGCAGCAGUGGGGAAUAUUGCACAAUGGGCGAAAGCCUGAUGCAGCGACGCCGCGUGAGGGAUGACGGCCUUCGGGUUGUAAACCUCUUUCAGCAGGGAAGAAGCGAAAGUGACGGUACCUGCAGAAGAAGCGCCGGCUAACUACGUGCCAGCAGCCGCGGUAAUACGUAGGGCGCAAGCGUUGUCCGGAAUUAUUGGGCGUAAAGAGCUCGUAGGCGGNUUUGUCACGUCGGGUGUGAAAGC